rnacentral:rRNA from 1 species
UCUGGUGUCAGCCGCCGCGGUAAUACCAGCUCUCCGAGUGGUGUGGAUGUUUAUUGGGCCUAAAGCAUCCGUAGCUGGCCAAGUUAGUCCCCUGUUAAAUCCACCGAAUUAAUCGUUGGAGUGCGGGGGAUACUGCUCGGCUAGGGGACGGGAGAGGCCGACGGUAUUUUCGGGGUAGGGGUGAAAUCCUAUAAUCCCGGGAAGACCACCAGUGGCGAAGGCUGUCGGCUAGAACGCGCUCGACGGUGAGGGACGAAAGCUGGGGGAGCGAACCGGAUUAGAUACCCGGGUAGUCCCAGCUGUAAACGAUGCGGGCUAGGUGUUGGGGUGGCUACGAGCCACUUCAGUGCCGCAGCGAAGGCAUUAA